rnacentral:rRNA from 1 species
GAUGAACGCUGGCGGCGUGCCUAAUACAUGCAAGUCGAGCGAACGGACGAGAAGCUUGCUUCUCUGAUGUUAGCGGCGGACGGGUGAGUAACACGUGGAUAACCUACCUAUAAGACUGGGAUAACUUCGGGAAACCGGAGCUAAUACCGGAUGAUAUUUUGAACCGCAUGGUUCAAAAGUGAAAGACGGUCUUGCUGUCACUUAUAGAUGGAUCCGCGCUGCAUUAGCUAGUUGGUAAGGUAACGGCUUACCAAGGCAACGAUGCAUAGCCGACCUGAGAGGGUGAUCGGCCACACUGGAACUGAGACACGGUCCAGACUCCUACGGGAGGCAGCAGUAGGGAAUCUUCCGCAAUGGGCGAAAGCCUGACGGAGCAACGCCGCGUGAGUGAUGAAGGUCUUCGGAUCGUAAAACUCUGUUAUUAGGGAAGAACAUAUGUGUAAGUAACUGUGCACAUCUUGACGGUACCUAAUAAGAAAGCCACGGCUAACUACGUG